CUAUCACAAUUACGGAGUCACUUCGCUAAUAGGUAUUAUAAGUAAAAGUAAUCUGUUUAGUCUCCAGCAUAGAGCUGAAGUAAGCGAGUGUUUACAAAUCGGUGCGAAUUUGAGGUGCAGUGUUAACUGCUCGAGGCACACAUAACCUCAAAUAUUUUCUCAGUGAAUAUUGUGAACAUUUGCAGUAAAUUUAUAUCGUUAUUAAGCAAGUUAUGAAAAGCAGUGAGAACAUAAUUGGGACGAAGGAAGAGCCAAACGAUAAUUGGUCAGAUGCAGGCGACGUUCAUGAUUUCGAUUCAAAGGACUCUUGCGGAACCAAAAAAAUUCAAUUGAACUAUCACUUCGGAGCUUGGGGUUCCACACACCAUGCGGUGCAUUCAAGGCAGUAUUCCGAGUAGCCCGUUUAUACAAGUACUUCUAGUGUUUAUAUUUCUUUUACUGCUCAACAACUUCGUCAUAUGGCCAGUAAUCCAGUACUUCCUCUAUCCAGACCGGAGACAGAUGGGUAGUUAUGAGAUGCCAUUGAACGUUAGAUACUCAGCAGUAUAAUGUCGGCCUUAAGCCGCACACAUUGCCCUUUAUAAAUUACCGGCAAAUCACAUGAAUGAAGUUAUGCGGUUCCAGGAAAAAUUAAACGAAAAAAUAUUCCUAGACUUCGAGUGCAAGGAUGUUAAGCCCGAUCUAAUGCCUAUGUCGACCAACAUCUGCAAAUCCGAAGUUAAAAAUAUUCAACCAAUCAUAAAGUUAGAAAAUGAAAAUCAGACA